CCUACGGGAGGCAGCAGUGAGGAAUAUUGGUCAAUGGGCGGGAGUCUGAACCAGCCAAGUCGCGUGCGGGAUGACGGCCCUAUGGGUUGUAAACCUCUUUUGUCCGGGAGCAAUGUGCCUCACGUGUGCGGUUUGGAGAGUACCCGGCGAAAAAGCAUCGGCUAACUCCGUGCCAGCAGCCGCGGUAAUACGGAGGAUUCGAGCGUUAUCCGGAUUUAUUGGGUUUAAAGGGUGCGUAGGCGGACGAUUAAGUCAGCGGUAAAAUUGCGGGGCUCAACCUCGUCGAGCCGUUGAUACUGGUUGCCUAGAGAGGGCGAGAAGUACGCGGAAUGCGUGGUGUAGCGGUGAAAUGCAUAGAUAUCACGCAGAACUCCGAUUGCGCAGGCAGCGUACCGGCGCCCAACUGACGCUGAAGCACGAAGGCGUGGGUAUCGAACAGGAUUAGAUACCCGGGUAGUC
rnacentral:rRNA from 1 species